rnacentral:hammerhead_ribozyme from 1 species
AUUCAGCUGACGAGUCCCAAAUAGGAUGAGACGCGCAUCCUGGAU